rnacentral:rRNA from 1 species
UACGUAGGGUGCGAGCGUUAAUCGGAAUUACUGGGCGUAAAGCGUGCGCAGGCGGUUUGUUAAGCCAGAUGUGAAAUCCCCGGGCUCAACCUGGGAAUGGCGAUGGAUACUGGCGAGCUAGAGUGUGUCAGAGGAUGGUGGAAUUCCCGGUGUAGCGGUGAAAUGCGUAGAGGUCGGGAGGAACAUCAGUGGCGAAGGCGGCCAUCUGGGACAACACUGACGCUGAAGCACGAAAGCGUGGGGAGCAAACAGG